AAUUUUUCUAUCUGUGAUGGAAGUUUUUAUGUACGAUUGCCUGAUCUGAAGACAAGACUUUCGCUGCAUGCAUAUUUAAUGUAUGACGUCACCCACACAGAGUGAGAGCUCGAGGUUUUCUUUGAAAGUUUGAUGGAAAAUGUACAGAGACUUGUCGCAGUUAAUGCAGUACCAAAUGCUUGCUUUCUUGGAGUAUGUGCUUGAAACAAGAAUGUCCUGGAGAAAAUAGACCACCACAAGAGAAGGGAUUGAGAAGGAGGGCUUCCUGUUGACAGAUCAGGGGGUGCCUUGAGGUUCCACUCUUGAUGUUCUGCCCCUUACCUGAAAGCGAUGACCUAUUGUGCCUGACAUAUUAGGAGCAAAGCACAAUGGACUGCUGGCUUAUUGGAAUUGGUUACAAAGAUACAAGUGGACUUGUCUGUAGUAGUUGCUGAAGAGGAGCAGUCAGCACAAGGAGCGUGUGCCUCCAAAACAACGUGGGAACUUCUCCCAAGUUCAUCUCAAAUCACAAGGCUCUUCAGGAAUCAAGAUGUAACAAUGGAGGUUGAGAAGGAGUUUGCGACCCUCCUGAUUUGGACUACUCGCUAUAUACAUUCUCAACAAUGGAUUGUAGCACUUCUGCACAAAACUCAACAAGUCAUGAUUGAGGAAAAUGCAACAAAUACUCAGUUGAGCAUUGAUUUAUGUGACUGGUAUUAGGGUAGGAUUCAGCUUGGUAAUUUUAUAUAAACUAUGUCCCAAAAGAACCUCAUUGGUCCUUAUGGUUCCACGCCACAAGCUGCUCCCUCCCCUGUUUCGGUAUACCGAACCCAGACUAUCAAGGGAUCAAAUGAAUUAAAAUCCACACUUGAUUACAAAUGAA
rnacentral:lncRNA from 1 species